GGGUACAACCAAGCGCCAGGCCCGGAUACAGCUCCGGGUGACGAGGUGGAGAGUGAUCGAACAGAAUCGGCGGAUGCUCUCCCGGUCCCGGCAGGAGGAUCGUCAGAUGGUUCACAAAAGCGCGUUGCGCACAAAAGAGCCACCCCAUCCCGC
rnacentral:ncRNA from 2 species